GAGGAAAAGAAAUCAACCGAGAUUCCCCCAGUAGCGGCGAGCGAACGGGGAGCAGCCCAGAGCCUGAAUCAGUAUGUGUGUUAGUGGAAGCGUCUGGAAAGGCGCGCGAUACAGGGUGACAGCCCCGUACACAAAAAUGCACAUGCUGUGAGCUCGAUGAGUAGGGCGGGACACGUGGUAUCCUGUCUGAAUAUGGGGGGACCAUCCUCCAAGGCUAAAUACUCCUGACUGACCGAUAGUGAACCAGUACCGUGAGGGAAAGGCGAAAAGAACCCCGGCGAGGGGAGUGAAAAAGAACCUGAAACCGUGUACGUACAAGCAGUGGGAGCACGCUUAGGCGUGUGACUGCGUACCUUUUGUAUAAUGGGUCAGCGACUUAUAUUCUGUAGCAAGGUUAACCGAAUAGGGGAGCCGAAGGGAAACCGAGUCUUAACUGGGCGUUAAGUUGCAGGGUAUAGACCCGAAACCCGGUGAUCUAGCCAUGGGCAGGUUGAAGGUUGGGUAACACUAACUGGAGGACCGAACCGACUAAUGUUGAAAAAUUAGCGGAUGACUUGUGGCUGGGGGUGAAAGGCCAAUCAAACCGGGAGAUAGCUGGUUCUCCCCGAAAGCUAUUUAGGUAGCGCCUCGUGAAUUCAUCUCCGGGGGUAGAGCACUGUUUCGGCAAGGGGGUCAUCCCGACUUACCAACCCGAUGCAAACUGCGAAUACCGGAGAAUGUUAUCACGGGAGACACACGGCGGGUGCUAACGUCCGUCGUGAAGAGGGAAACAACCCAGACCGCCAGCUAAGGUCCCAAAGUCAUGGUUAAGUGGGAAACGAUGUGGGAAGGCCCAGACAGCCAGGAUGUUGGCUUAGAAGCAGCCAUCAUUUAAAGAAAGCGUAAUAGCUCACUGGUCGAGUCGGCCUGCGCGGAAGAUGUAACGGGGCUAAACCAUGCAC
rnacentral:rRNA from 1 species